GCUGGGUGUGGUGCACACACCUGUAAUCCCAACUGCUCGGGAGGCAGAGGCAGGAGGAUGGCGAAUUCAAAGCCAGCCUCAGCAAUUUAGUGAAGUGCUAAGCAACUCGGUGAGAUCCUGUCUCUA
rnacentral:sRNA from 1 species